GAUGAAGAACGUAGCGAAAGGCGAUAAGUAAUGUGAAUUGCAGAAUUCAGUGAAUCAUCGAAUCUUUGAACGCACAUUGCGCCCAUUAGUAUUCUAGUGGGCAUGCCUGUUCGAGCGUCAUUUCAACCCUUAAGCCUAGCUUAGUAUUGGGAAUCGACUUUACUGUCGUUCCUCAAAUUCAACGGCGGAUUUAUAGCAAUCUCUGAACGUAGUAAUUUUUUUCCUCGUUUUUGAAAUACUAUAAACCUCAGCCGCUAAACCCCCAAUUUUUCUAUGGUUGACCUCGGAUCAGGUAGGAAUACCCGCUGAACUUAAGCAUAUCAAUAGCGGAGGA
rnacentral:misc_RNA from 1 species